rnacentral:rRNA from 1 species
UACGUAGGGUGCGAGCGUUAAUCGGGAAUUACUGGGCGUAAAGCGUGCGCAGGCGGUUCGUUGUGUCCGGCGGUGAAAGCCCCGGGCUCAACCUGGGAAUGGCCGUUGAAACUGGCGAACUGGAGUGUGGCAGAGGGGGGUGGAAUUCCGCGUGUAGCAGUGAAAUGCGUAGAGAUGCGGAGGAACACCGAUGGCGAAGGCAGCCCCCUGGGCUGACACUGACGCUCAGGCACGAAAGCGUGGGGAGCAAACAGG